rnacentral:rRNA from 1 species
GUACGGGAGGCAGCAGUGAGGAAUCUUGCACAAUGGGGGAAACCCUGAUGCAGCGACGCCGCGUGGAGGAUGACGGGUCUAGGCCUGUAAACUCCUUUUAUGGGGAAAGACUUAGGACGGUACCCCAUGAAUAAGGACCGGCUAACUACGUGCCAGCAGCCGCGGUAAGACGUAGGGUCCAAGCGUUGUCCGGAUUUACUGGGCGUAAAGAGCGCGUAGGCGGUCUGUUAAGUGAGAAGUGAAAUCUUCAGGGCUCAACCCGAAAAUGGCUUUUCAUACUGGCAGACUGGAGGGAUGCAGAGGUAUGUGGAAUUCCUGGUGUAGCGGUGAAAUGCGUUGAUAUCAGGAGGAACACCCAUGGCGAAGGCAGCAUACUGGGCAUCAUCUGACGCUGAGGCGCGAAAGCGUGGGUAGCAAACAGGAUUAGAUACCCUUGUAGUC